CCAGUGGCGCGAAGCUAC
rnacentral:snRNA from 1 species